GAUGAGCGCUGGCGGCGCGCCUAACACAUGCAAGUCGAACGAUUAAAGCACCUUCGGGUGUGUAUAAAGUGGCGAACGGCUGAGUAACACGUGGGCAACCUGCCCCUUUCAUUGGGAUAGCCACGGGAAACCGUGGAUAAUACCGAAUACUUCGAGACUUCCGCAUGGAAGACUCGAGAAAGCUCCGGCGGAGAGGGAUGGGCCCGCGGCCUGUUAGCUUGUUGGUGGGGUAACGGCCUACCAAGGCAAUGAUGGGUAGCUGGGUUGAGAGACCGACCAGCCAGAUUGGGACUGAGACACGGCCCAGACUCCUACGGGAGGCAGCAGUGGGGAAUCUUGCACAAUGGGCGAAAGCCUGAUGCAGCGACGCCGCGUGCGGGAUGAAGGCCUUCGGGUUGUAAACCGCUUUCAGCAGGGACGAGGCGAAAGUGACGGUACCUGCAGAAGAAGCCCCGGCUAACUACGUG
rnacentral:rRNA from 1 species